UGUGUUGCUUUUGUUAUAGGCAAAGCAAGGGUGGCUCCACUCAAGCACGUCACCAUACCUCGCCUGGAACUGGCUGCAGCAGUCGUUGCUGUGCGCCUGGACAAGAUGCUGUCAAAACAGUUGGAGCUCAACCUCAGUCAGUCAGUCUUUUGGUCCGACAGCAUGACUGUCCUAAAAUACAUUGCAAACACCACCACUCGCUUUAAGACCUAUGUAGCCAAUAGAGUUUCCAUCAUAAGUUCACUGUCUAAUGUCCGUCAGUGGAGACAUGUUGGCUCUAAGAUGAAUCCUGCAGACGCAGCUUCGCGAGGCAUGAAAGUUGGAGCCUUCCUGAAGUCCUCAACCUGGAUCACUGGUCCUGACUUUCUCGGAAAAAAACGAGCGUGAGUGGCCAGCAAGCGUGGAUAAAGCAUCGCUGCAUCCGGACGCUGACCCAGAAGUGAGAGAGGAGGUCCUUUCCUUCGCUGCACAGGCGGAAGAAGUAUGUCCCACCACUAAACUACUGCUGCACUUCUCUAGUUGGACAAGGCUCAAGAGAGCCGUGGCAUGGAUUACGAAACUGAAAGAAAAGCUAAGGCUAAAGAUAAAAGAAAAUGCACAAUGUGGAGAUCAAACUUCUGUCAAACAGGUAAAGAAAACAAACUACUUACCACUCACAGUCGAUGACCUGCUCUUAGCAGAGGAGGCAAUAGUGCGCUUUGUGCAAAAGAAACAUUACUCCAGCGAAUUGGCUGCACUGAAAUCCGGGGGUGUAAAGAAAUCCAGUCAACUGUAAAAACUUGACCCCAUUGCCAUUGAUGAUGUAUUGAGAGUUGGUGGUAGGCUGAGCAGGUCCGCUCUACCUGUGGAAACAAAACACCCUGCAAUACUACCAAAAGAAAGUCACGUCUCAAAGCUCAUUCUUCAACAUGUACACAAUAAAGUUGGUCACAGGGGAAGAAAUCAUAUGCUCUCAACCCUACGACGACAGUACUGGAUUCCUCAUGCAAAUGCAGCAGCCAGAAAGAUCAUCAGUGAGUGUGUGAUAUGCCUAAAGCAGCGCCAAAGACCAGGUGAGCAGAAAAUGUCUGACCUGCCUGUUGACAGAGUCACAGCUGAUGCCCCACCAUUCACACAUGUGGGCCUAGAUUAUUUCGGGCCAAUAGAAGUUAAGAAAGGCAGAAGCCUAGUUAAAAGAUAUGGAGCACUUUUUACUUGCCUAACCUGUCGCGCAGUACACCUGGAGGUGGCGCAUUCUCUCAAUACAGAUUCCUGUAUAAACGCCAUCAGGAGGUUUAUCUGCCGCAGAGGCCAAGUCAAAGAAAUCCGGACGGAUAAUGGAACCAACUUCGUCAGCACAAACCGUUUAUUCAAGAAGGAUGACCUGUACGCUCGGAGACGCUGGAGGCAAGUGCAAUACAUCGCCGACCUCUUCUGGAAGAGGUGGACGACCGAGUACCUCCCUCAACUGCAAGAGCGGCAGAAGUGGAACAAAGUUCACAGAAACUUCAGUUGGUGACAUCGUGCUCGUGGUGGAAGAGUCCGCACCCAGAGGUGCGUGGCCCAUUGUGCGCAUCACCGACACCAUGGCAGACUCCAAAGGGUGCGUUCGACGGGUCCGUGUCAAGACACAGACCAACGAGUUGGAAAAGCCCAUCAAUAAGAUCUGCCUCCUGGGGGGGGGUAGUUUAAGGGGCAACAGUGAAUGUUCGCCUCCAACGGAGUCAUGUUCUUGAACCUCUGACUCUACACAUCUACAGAUGCUCACUUACUGAUUUAGUCCGUGAUGCAAUAGGCGUCACAACCUUUAUGCUGAAAACAUGCACACAGUCCAUAAGCAGUCCAUGCACACAGACCAUUGCAUACACUUGAAGCCUUUUUCCCUUUCAAGAAGAAGAACUUUUGUUGUUUACGGACCGAAAACCAUUUGUAAAUGCACUUGAGUAUGAACUUUAAUAACAAUGCAAAAAAAACACAAAAAAUAAAAAAAAAGGAAAGCAAAUAGCAUUGAAUUGUAUGUAAGCUUACAUUUAUCACCGUACUUGUAAUGGCCAUUCACUUGUAUAUAUUGUAUAUAGAUUUGUAAUUACUUGUUGUUCAAGAAUUAGGGGCCGGAAUGUAAUGGCCGUUUCUGUUUUUUGUUAAGCUCACUUCGACCUGUGAUUUGUAUACGCCUACCUAGGCACAGGUGCGGGUGAUUUUA